rnacentral:rRNA from 1 species
GACGAACGCUGGCGGCGUGCUUAACACAUGCAAGUCGAACGGACUGCAUARCUUGUUGUGUGGUUAGUGGCGAACGGGUGAGUAACACGUGAGUAACCUGCCCCCUUCUUUGGGAUAAGCACCUGAAAGGGUGUCUAAUACUGAUUAUUCUGCAUUCCGCGCAUGUGGUUUGUUGGAAAGGUUUUUCUGGUGGGGGAUGGGCUCGCGGCUUAUCAGCUUGUUGGUGGGGUAAUGGCUUACCAAGGCUUUGACGGGUAACCGGCCUGAGAGGGUGACCGGUCACAUUGGGACUGAGAUACGGCCCAGACUCCUACGGGAGGCAGCAGUGGGGAAUAUUGCACAAUGGGCGAAAGCCUGAUGCAGCGACGCCGCGUGAGGGAUGAAGGCCUUCGGGUUGUAAACCUUUUUCGCCCUUGAACAAGCCGCGUUUUGUCGUGGUGAGGGUAUGGGGUAAAGAAGCCCCGGCUAACUACGUGCCAGCAGCCGCGGUAAUACGUAGGGUGCGAGCGUUGUCCGGAAUUAUUGGGCGUAAAGGGCUUGUAGGUGGCGUGUCGCGUCUGUCGUGAAAUGUGCUGGCUUAACUGGUGCAGUGCGGUGGGUACGGGCAUGCUUGAGUGUGGUAGGGGAGAUUGGAAUUCCUGGUGUAGCGGUGGAAUGCGCAGAUAUCAGGAAGAACACCGGUGGCGAAGGCGGAUCUCUGGGCCAUUACUGACGGUGAGGAGCGAAAGCAUGGGGAGCGAACAGGAUUAGAUACCCUGGUAGUCCAUGCUGUAAACGUUGGGCACUAGGUGUGGGGACUCGUUAGGGUUUCUGCGCCGUAGCUAACGCAUUAAGGCUCCGCCUGGA